UACGAAGGGGGGCUAGCGUUGCUCGGAAUCACUGGGCGUAAAGGGUGCGUAGGCGGGUCUUUUAAGUCAGGGGGUGAAAUCCUGGAGCUCAACUCCAGAACUGCCUUUGAUACUGAGGAUCUUGAGUACGGGAGAGGUGAGUGGAACUCCUGGUGUAGCGGUGGAAUGCGCAGAUAUCAGGAAGAACACCAACGGCGAAGGCAGCUCGCUAGGACGGUACUGACGCUGAGACGCGGAAAGCGUGGGGAGCGAACAGG
rnacentral:rRNA from 1 species